UCCUACGGGACGCAGCAGUAGGGAAUUUUCGUCAAUGGGCGCAAGCCUGAACGAGCAAUGCCGCGUAAGUGAGGAAGGUCUUCGGAUCGUAAAGCUCUGUUGCAGGUCAGAAAAGAAGGAAAGAGGAAAUGCUUUUCUUUUGAUAGUAACCUGCCAGAAAGUCACGGCUAACUACGUGCCAGCAGCCGCGGUAAUACGGAGGAUGCGAGCGUUAUCCGGAUUUAUUGGGUUUAAAGGGUGCGUAGGCGGAUCGUUAAGUCAGUGGUCAAAUUGAGGGGCUCAACCCCUUCCCGCCAUUGAAACUG
rnacentral:rRNA from 1 species